CGAGGCCUCGGGCUGCACAAACCCGCGGGCCGCUCCGCAGCUCCUCGCUGGCUUCCUCCAGCUCCCCCGACACAGCGCUCCCUGGAGUCCACUUGGAUUUCAUGGGCUCCGAAAGCCCCCCGCGCGGCUGCUGGGUGCCGGGAAUCCCGCCGUCCUCCGUGGGCCCAUUCGGUCCCAGGGCCCCCUUCCUCCGCUCCCCUGAGUGGAGUCCGGCUGAGUUCUGUGCCUCUCUCUGCCUUUAACGGCACCUCACGCUCCCAGCGCUGUCCCUGCGGACAAGGGAAGUUCAGUUCUUUACUCUUUAAGGCACGCACUGCCCAGAGUUCUGUGAUACUCCCUGGCUUAUUUCCUGUACAAUUCUACCACUUCACGUCUGCAACUGAGCGACCUCAGACAGGUGUCCCAGUUUCCGAAGUCCAAAGACACUGCCACAAACAUUUGAGGCAUGGUCCCCGGCCCAAGGACAUCUCAGCUGAAAUUCCAACAGCGGGCUCUAUCUACCAUCUCCUCUGUCAGGCUACUUCUGCACUUCCGCGCGAGGAACAGUAUAUACUUCUGCACUUCUGCGCGAGGAACAGUAUGGCCGAAGGCAUCUUUGGUCAUCUCUCUGGACACAAAAGGGACCUCUUGGCCUGAGGCAAUUUGUGGGAAGGAACAGUGCUGCUGGACCCAAUGCUGGCACGGCAGGACCAGCUGCCUUAACACUGCUUACGAAUGGAUUCCCAAUGAGACACGUGAAAGUCAAAGACCAGUCCUAAUUUUUAAAGUGGCUGUGUUUCCAGCUGAUAUUUGGAAUUCCAAAGCAGUUGGCAUUGUGGGGAAGUCAGCCUGGUGGAAACAAGCAAACACACAAAAGAAAGGCAUCUAG
rnacentral:lncRNA from 1 species